GUGGCUUAUUAAUCCCAUUGCUUUUUGUUUUUUUCUUUCAGGCAGACUUCUUUAUGACAUACAUCUUGACAAAUGGGCUGGCAGGAUUUUCCCUGGAGACAUAUUGAUUCAUAUAUCACUCAUAAGGGCAUCUUGACAAGCAUAGAUCAGACAUAUUGAAAAUUGUCAAGGAUGGUAUUGAGUAUGCUUUUGUUGAUGCUCCAAAGCAGCUAUCUUUUUUGGAUGGGGCUGUGGUCCAUUUUGUUUCCAAACUUCCUACACCUGAUAUCCUUGAAAUUUUGAAGGAUGUCCAAAAACGAACAGAGAACGUGAAUACAGAGGUAGAUCCUAGUGGAUGGCGCCCCUAUCACACGUUUGUAGACAGUUUAAAAGAAAAGUAUGCGAAAAAUGAAGGUUUCCAAG